rnacentral:sRNA from 1 species
CUCUUUAGCGUUUUAGACUUUUGAGAAUUAGUCUAGUCGGGCGAUUAGCCAGACUCAAAAUUAUUGAGUG